rnacentral:lncRNA from 1 species
UCCAUUUCUUACCUUCUGAUUCUCUUCUAGGGAUUGUAUAUGAAGUCUUCUCUAUGCUAGAGGAGCUUUCUAUCCUAGCACUGCACUCCCAGCCCCCAUGCUCGCUGUAUUUAAAUAUGCAGUGAUGGUGGGAACGGAGAAACAGAAAACAAGAAAGAAAAAGAAACUAAGACUCUACAGCUUCACAUACCACAUCUUCACCUGUCUGGCACUUGGGACAUCUUUAGAAAGCAUCCCAGUAAAGACCCCAGUGGAGACGGCCUUGUCUGAUGAGUAAGCCCUACUACCUCUGUAAUCAAGGUACUGUGGGCAACAAGAAUGCCAGCUCACCAGAGCAUAUGAAGAAGAGGAAGUGAAUAUGGCUAAAAUGGAGAACUGGGAACAAGCAGAGGUCCUCAGACACCUCUAUCUGGAACUUGGACUUCAACCCAUCUGUGGAUGACAAAUGCUAAGCAACCAGCUAUACACAUAGGACAGUACAACCAAUAAAGUCAGGAGUAAAUAUGGAGAACUAAUGAAUAGCACUGGAAAUU